CAGAGAGGAAGGGGGAGGGACCUGGAAGUUGCACUCUUUCAAAUUUUCAAGUAAAGUCCACUCUCUUCUCAAUCUUUCCUACUGCACCUUUAAGGUUAGCCUGACUUAAGUCUCCAGCAACAUUGAGCGCAGCAUCAGGAUAACCGAUGGUGGUCUGCAUUUGAUUGACAAUAACUCCCGUCCAACGCCUGUACAUUGGCUAGCAGGAUGCUUGGCAGAGAAGAUCCAUGUGGCCGGGACCGCAGCCAGUGUUUAUCCCCUCCACCUUUUUUUUGAUGUUUAUUCUGAUGUUUACAUUUGAAAACCUCAACCAGAGUUUACAAAAUGUACUGGCGCCAGGAAGCAGACUCCACACAUCAGAGGCUGCAUAGGGUCUGCUUAAUAACCCCCUCCCACUAGGCUGGUCUGGUGGGAGAAGUAUGGAACAAAAAGCAGCUGGAACCAGAUCCUGCCACUCCCAUCUGCCCUGCAAUCAUCUCAUUCCCCUCACCUGCGUUUCCUAACCCAUCUCCCCACCUGCACCUCAUUUCCUCAUCAGCCACUCUCUACAUAUACCGGUCCACUUCCUUUGGUCCUCUGUCAGUUAACCUGAAACUGCCUACCUGCCUCUCUGUCACCUGUUUACUUGUCUAACUGUACUUACCUAUAACCUAAUUUCCAUCAUUAAACCACUGAAAUCAUCCUGCCAUCUUGACUGUCUGCAUUUAUUUCAUCCAUAUCUAGAGUAUAUAGAGUGUGCUAAGAAUUGCUUGUGUUGUUAUUUUAUUAUGGGGAGGCAACACGCCACAAUUUUUACUGAAGUAUAUCAUAGGUAAUUCUACAGGGGAAAAUGGAAAAAAAUGUUAACAAUACAGCACCACUGUUGGUGGUGGACAGAGAGGCAGGAGACACAGAUAUGGAAACAGAUGGUGGUUUAUUUGGAUUACCGCACAGCCAACACAGUAUGCAGGUACGAGGUGAGGUUAUGGGUUAUCAAUAGGAGGAAUAAUGUCCACAGAUACUGUCCUUUGUCUAACUGGUUUGUUGAUAGUGGAUGGGUAGAUGUUCAAGUUUGUAGUCUUCCGACCACCCAAGGCGCUUCACACGCUACAUAUCACAUUCACACACUCACAAAGAAACUAACUAAUCAUUCACACAUUAAAUGUUACCUCAAAAUAAACAUCAAAUAUUUCCUCAAUAACCAAAACACAAUGUUCUCUCGUGGUAAACACAAC